CGUAUAAUCUAGCUCAACGGUUGUAUACCUUGCAAGCCAUUAUGAGAAUUACUGCCCCAAGAUGGUACCAACGAACCCUACGGCUCAUCAGCUAUUUUUUCUUUCUAUACUUACUUACUUAGGUAUUGACAUUCAGCAAAUAAUAAUAUUCUUCAUAUGUGAUUUCAGCAUCCUCCAGUUUUAACUUAAAGUCAUGUGGGCGUGAACUAUAUUUACAAUCGAAGAAUGCCUAAUUGCUUACCGAGAUUUAGUCGAAAAAAUAAUUCAUUUUUGUCAGAAUAAAUCAAAAAUAAUUUGUAAUAAUUAUUACUAAAAUCUUUGCAUUAAUGUUACCACUAAAUUCACGCUAAUUAGUGUAACUUGGCAUUCAUAGAGUUUCUGAUAUUAUCAACACUUUGUAGAAGAAUACUAAAGUUAGAAAUUUGAAACAAUAGGAAGAAAGAGUUAAUAAAACUUCAUGCUGAUUACGGCUCAGGAUACUAAUGAAUUGAUCAUUCUCAGAGAUUUAUAUACUUAACUACUAAAACGUUUUUUACGGAACUCGUUUAACAUACAUUACAUUCACAAUACAUUAUGACUGGUAAUAAUACAUAUAUAACAGUGAAAAGGAUCAUUUACUAUGCUUAUGUAUUUUAUCUGGACGAAUUUGCUAUAUACUAUAAAGUGACUAUGGAGUGAUAUUUUUAUUGGACGUAUUUACUAUUUACUAUAUAGUGGCUAUGGAGUGAUAUUUUUAUUGAACGUAUUUACAAUAUACUAAUAAGCAACUGAUAAGUGUCUUAUGAUAUUCUUUUGGAGUGAUAUACUGAUUCGUAUAAACAAAUAAAUUGUUUGGAACUACUCGGGGAUAUUGGAGUUAUUUAGUAAAUAUCAUAGUCAGAAAAAUAAUGGAUUAACACUUAGAGAUACAAAGAGGAAUUUAUCGUUGUUUAUCAGCACGUCAAUAUCAGUAAUCGAGUGUUCAGGGCCUAGAACUAGACAAAAUUCCGAAAAUUAACAAUGAGAUGCAUUGGUACAUUGUUAGUAUUAGCAAGUUUGUGUGUUCUCCUUGUAAUCAGUAAUAAUCUCAACAAUUUCACACAGUAUUUGGACUAUAGUUUCUAUCAAACAAAUGGAGCUAAAACGCUGAAAAAUAAAAUAAACAAUAAUCAAAAGCGAAAAACACACAUAGCUCUUGUGAAAGUUCCAAAGUGUGCCUCAAGUACUAUUGCGUGUAUACUUGUACGAUUUGGGAUUGCUAAUAAUUUAACAAUUUUCAACAAGAAUCCUCUGAAAUGGUUUAGAGGAUAUAAACAGAAUAAGUCCGCAAAUUUUGACAUAUUUGUUCCCCAUAAAAUUUACAACAACAAAUUUUACACAACAGUUGUUUCAGAUCCUGUGAUAAUUGGCUCUGUCCGCAAUCCGAUAGAAAGAGUUAUAAGUCACGCCUUUUUUCUUCAAAAGAAACAUGAUAGACGGUUUCAUGAAUCUCUACACGAAGAAGAAUUUAUUCGUGAUGUUCUAUUCAACAUUACUAAAUAUCGGAUAAGUAAUGUAAUGGCGGAAUAUUUUGGAUUUAAUUAUAUCCAAACGGACAAUACAAAUAUUGACAGAUAUCUGCAAAAACUGAACUAAGAAAUUUCUUUGGUCCUGGUAGUUGAACGAAUGAAUGAAUCAUGAGUGUUACUGAAGCGACGUCUCAAUUGGUCGCUUGCUGAUAUUCUCUAUGGGCGUAAAAAUAUCAAUAAAUAUUUGCAUGUUCGUCUAAAUGAAAACGAAAAACGUAUAAUACGAAUGACCAACAGUUUAGACUUUGAAAUAUAUAACUUUUACUACAAGGAGCUAAGCAAUAAUAUAAAAAAUGAGAAAAAUAAUUUCCAUGGAGAAGUAAAGUAUUUUGAAAACGUUUUACAGACAGUCGCAACAUUCUGCGACCGCAAGUACAAGUCACUCUUAGUCAUUCCCUCAUCUCAAUGGGAUAGUUCGUUUACGAUAUUUGCGAAGGAAUGCGAUCUUCUCUUUAAGUCAGAGUUCCAUACUAUAAUGAAACGUUUAAAGUUUGCAAAAUCUCGAAGAACAGUAUGUUCACAUUAACAGUGCCUUUCACACACGUAUGGAGUAAAACAAUACGGCGAGUUAAAUUAAACUAAUGAUCUAAAUUAUUUUUCCAACGAACAGCUGGAAGAAUUCAGAUGCAGUCUAAACAGUAAACAUCAUUGAAAAAAAUGCCUCAAUCUUACACAUAAUUUUAUAACGCUGUCAAGUUGAACGGUUCAAAAUGACGAAAUAAAUUAAUGUCAAUUUUACAUGAUCUUUUAGCGGUUUAGAAAAAUACAUAUUACUUUCUAGUAAAUUAGUUUGAAAGAGAAAGAUGAGAAUUGUUCCUUAUAUUACCGCACAAGAUACAAUGAGUUUGUCCUACACGGCAUCAUACACCUUGAGUUGCACGUGUUUGUAAAUGUAAACGAUUGGCUGAUAUGUAAGCCACAACUGAAUGGAGCAAAAUAAAAGUAGUAUAACAAAUAGAAUGAAAUAAUUAUCUACUGAAAUAUUUUCAUACCUUUAAGAAAAAAAUUCCCUCGCCGUUAAUGCUUAAAGUGCCAAUCCUCAGGUUAAAUGAUGGCCUUGUUCGAUGUUAACAAAGGAUAUGGUAAACUUAUUAUGAACCUUCUUUACACAAUAGAAACAACCGAAUGAGCGGACACUGUAUUUUUUUAUUUUCAAAAUGUUAUUUUAAUGCAUUGUAAAAGUAAUACAGGAUAACAAAGGCAUUUACCUAACAAUCCUGGAAUCAUUUUCAUUGAUUUUCUCAUAUCUAAACAUUUUUGCGCAUCCUUUGACUAAUAUAUGAUUAUAGGCAGCAGAUACAUUUUCUCUUCCAAUCAAUAGCUUUGUCAACAUAUUUCCUCUUUUGAAAUACUUGGAAUUUCAAAUCCUUUAAAAGAAUUAUCUGUUUAUUGAUUUUUUUCCCCAGAAAUUGUUGAAAAUUAAAAGGGGCAUUUCUUGAUAAGAUCGAUACAUAUUUUCUUUUCAAAAAACUGAUCACUGAUAAAUUAAGCUUAUGUGUGGCACCCUGUCACAAACUGCCAUACGGGCCUCAUUGUAUCUGUAGUUUAAAUACAGGUAUUGCAUCAUCUUUUUGUAAAUUUUUGAUUUAUUAAGGUAAAUGUCAGAUUUGUCGCAUAAAAUAUCUCUCAUGUUUUUCUGUAUGUCAUAACUUAAAUUUCUAUAUAAAUUUUAUUAAAUUCGGUUCAGUAAUAAGAACGUUGAUA